rnacentral:tRNA from 1 species
GCCCGGGCGGCUCGGUCGGUUGAGCAUCUGACUUCGGCUCAGGUCACGAUCUCGCGGUUCGUGGGUUCAAGUCCUACGUCGGGCU